CAUUUCUACAAAAGAUCGCAUUUUAUAGUUCAGAAAUUAAAUCGAAAUUAAACUAAAACCUUUCAAAUUAUGCUGCAAAAGUGAAAGAAUGCAUAGUGAAUUUUAGUGUGUAACAAUUAUACAACUAAUUAAAAGUUUAUUUCGUCAGUAUUUUACAUUCACAACCAGCGAUAAAACGAUAUCAAGCGAUUCAAUCUAUUUUUCGCACGUUGACCAAUAGUGCCAACAAGACUGGCCAACAUUGAAGUUAAUACCAAAAUACAUAUAAUAAAAAUGUGUAUGUACAUAUGUAUGUACAAUAUAAUUAUGUCGACAUACAGGUCUGUAUAGAGUAAUGGGCGAACACUUGAAUGAAUCAUAGACCAGUCGACGUAUGGUAAAGAGCAUUGGCCAACUUGAAAGUAAACGCGUAAAAUCAACAAAACACACAUCUGCAUACAUAUACAUAUCUUUGUACAUAAGUAAGUGUGCAAAUGCAAGAAUUUACAAUAACAGCGUGCAAUAUACCGUGUCAAUGAAGGACGGUAAAAUGUGGUGAAGAAAUGUAAUGACACGCAUUAUUCUCGUACAUUCAAAUGCACAUAGAGAUAUACAUAUUUACUUGUAGAUAUGUAUAGGAUCUAUUUACUUAUAUAUGAACAAGCAUAUGUAUGCAUUCGAACGUGACUAUGAUGCUUGCCGGAUUAAUUUAACCGGAAGUGCUACCCGCACACUUUUCCUACACAUGGCUUACAUUCUUUUGGAGUAGGGAAACGCAAAGGAGGGUAUAUCGGCCAUUGUCUUCUCGUCGCGAUAUCCCUCCGGAAAGCUUUCAACAAUGACACAAGACGGUGAUGUCUGACUGCCGCCCGUAGGCGUACUAUGUUUUUCUCCAUUAUGUACGAGCGCGACUUCACACCAAAACUCGAAAAGUUUCUUUACAUCCGUUCUGCAAACAAAAUUUCACAUUUCGUAAACACAAAUACAAAUAUUUUAUAUUAAAUUUAAAUACAACUACAAGAUAAGACAUAUUAAGCAUAUGUAUUUAUAAUUAUGGCAAACACUCUUGUAAUACAUAUGAACUUUUCGCUUAUCACUUUUCAAGUAAA